GUUUGCACACUCCCUCUACCCCUGGUCUCCUUUGGAAUAAAGCUCUUCUAAUAAGGAACAUGGGUUUUCAUCUGACAAUUUGCAUCUAUCAGGUCUCUGCAGGAAACAGGUGGCACACACAGAGGAGAGUUACAUCAGAGUGCAGGGCAGGACAAAGGGGACCAGCAAGAAAUGGAGAGGCACCUGGGGUCAGCCCUUGCAGGAAGCCCUGACCACUCCCAAACUGAAUGGGAAAAGCGGGACAGGUGCUGUUGGACCCCAGAGACAGCUGGGGCAUGGAAAGAGGCUCUGCUUUCCAGAAGCUGUGGGCAGACAGCCAUGACCAGACCUGCAGUGGAGCAGGUGGGGAGUGGGACUGUGCCUCCUAUUGGCCAAACCAAGCUGGGAACCACAGGGCAAGGGGCAGGUGACACAGGCUGUGAGAGGUUGGCCUGCCAGGGCACAGAGCAGGGCAGAGAGGGUGAAGAAUGGGUAGGGGUGCCAGGGUGAGAGGUAGGCUGAGUAAUGGCCUCUCAAAUGUCCAUGUCUUAAUCCCCAGGACCCUACAUGGCAAAAGGCUUGGCAGACGUGACAAAGUGAAGAGUCUUGAGAUGGGGAGAUGAUCCUGCAUUGUCUGGAUGGGCUGGGUGUGGUCGUGACAGUUUUCAUAAGAGGGCUGCAGGACUACACUUUCUUCCUGAGAGGGUUCCUAACUUCUCUGAAGUCAAGUUGAGCGUCCACAUCUAAAGCC
rnacentral:lncRNA from 1 species